GGAACCGUGAUGUAGGGGUAAACGUGAUUGCCUCUCACCCAGUCGGCCUGGGUUCGAUCCCAGACGGUCCCG
rfam:Culex pipiens quinquefasciatus supercont3.57 genomic scaffold, whole genome shotgun sequence.